ACAUGCCUACAACAUAGUGUUAAUGUAGCAGAUCCCAUUAGAACUCCACAGUUAAGGGCACUCAAGCUAGAGUAGUACUGGGAUGGUUGACCACCUGGGAAGUCCUAGUGUUUUACAUGCC
rnacentral:rRNA from 1 species